rnacentral:rRNA from 1 species
UACGGGAGUGGCAAGCGUUAUCCGGAAUUAUUGGGCGUAAAGCGUCCGCAGGCGGUCUGUCAAGUCUGCUGUUAAAGCGUGGAGCUUAACUCCAUUUCGGCAGUGGAAACUGACAGACUAGAGUGUGGUAGGGGCAGAGGGAAUUCCCGGUGUAGCGGUGAAAUGCGUAGAUAUCGGGAAGAACACCAGUGGCGAAGGCGCUCUGCUGGGCCAUAACUGACGCUCAUGGACGAAAGCCAGGGGAGCGAAAGGGAUUAGGUACCCCUGUAGUCCUGGCCGUAAACGAUGGACACUAGGUGUCGGGGGAAUCGACCCCCUCGGUGUCGUAGCCAACGCGUUAAGUGUUCCGCCUGGGGAGUACGCACGCAAGUGUGAAACUCAAAGGAAUUGACGGGGGCCCGCACAAGCGGUGGAGUAUGUGGUUUAAUUCGAUGCAACGCGAAGAACCUUACCAGGGUUUGACAUCCUGCGAAUCUCUUGGAAACGAGAGAGUGCCUUCGGGAACGCAGUGACAGGUGGUGCAUGGCUGUCGUCAGCUCGUGUCGUGAGAUGUUGGGUUAAGUCCCGCAACGAGCGCAACCCACGUCGUUAGUUGCCAGCAUUUAGUUGGGCACUCUAGCGAGACCGCCGGUGAUAAACCGGAGGAAGGUGUGGAUGACGUCAAGUCAUCAUGCCCCUUACAUCCUGGGCUACACACGUACUACAAUGCUACGGACAAAGGGCAGCAAACUCGCGAGAGCUAGCAAAUCCCAUAAACCGUGGCUCAGUUCAGAUCGUAGGCUGCAACUCGCCUACGUGAAGGAGGAAUCGCUAGUAAUCGCAGGUCAGCAUACUGCGGUGAAUACGUUCCCGGGCCU